UUUUUAUGGAGAGUUUGAUCCUGGCUCAGGAUGAACGCUGGCGGCGUGCCUAAUACAUGCAAGUCGAGCGAACAGACGAGG
rnacentral:rRNA from 1 species